UACGAAGGGGGCUAGCGUUGUUCGGAUUUACUGGGCGUAAAGCGCGUGUAGGCGGAUCGUUAAGUCGGGGGUGAAAGCCCUGAGCUCAACUCUGGAACUGCCUUCGAUACUGGCAGUCUGGAGCACGGUAGAGGUGAGUGGAAUUCCGAGUGUAGAGGUGAAAUUCGUAGAUAUUCGGAGGAAGACCAGUGGCGAAGGCGGCUAUCUGGUCUCUACCUGACACGGAGGCGCGAAAGCGUGGGGAGCAACCAGG
rnacentral:rRNA from 1 species